GGUGAUCAUCGUAUUCGAAUGAUGUGAAACGUGAACCGUUAAUCACGCUCGAACCGCGCAUUUAGUCCAACCCAUCAGAUCAUACAGAAACCCUAACUCCCUCCCCGAGACACCGGUCCCCACCGGCGCAAUUGCCAAAAGGCCGUGCCCACAUGCAUCUCUCUCAUCGAUGCACGCUCGAAUCCAAGAUCCGCUUUACUUUUAAUCGAUCUCGAGAGACAAAAAGGAGAGCGCCAGACAAAACUACAGGGAAAUCACGACAACCACAAUCCCUCUGCCGCUGCCUCGUGGAUCUCCGUCCCUGUACCUCUCUCUGCUUUCCCUGCCCGGCAAUAAC
rnacentral:lncRNA from 1 species